CCCGCCCUCGGGCCCGCCUCCAGGGAAAGCGCUUCUGCAAAGGCUUGGCGUGUCAAUCAAGAUCAGAAUGGUAGUGGGAUUUCCUGGUGUUUGGCAGUCUAAAUGCAAAUGCCUCAGCAGGAGAGCAUAAUCAAAGGGAUAUAAAGUUCCAGCUGCAAUUAGAGAAAAAGAGAAGUGAUCUGAGCUCUGCAUCCUGAUGAACCUCUCGGGCAGGAAAUGAGACAUUGAAGCUUGGUGCCCUCUAGACAGAAUGUUUCCCAAACAGGGAUUGAACUUGGGCCCCCUGCAUUGGAAGCAUGGAGUCUCAGCCACUGGACCACCGGGGAAGUCCCUGCUGAAUGAGCUGCACACUAAAAUUCCGUAACUAAAACUCUGCCGGAUCUGAGUCCUUGCCUCCUCCCAAGUAUUCUAGCAGGUCCUGUGCACCACAAGACACAGAAAUCGGACCUCUGCCAAUUGGAGAUCAAAUCUCUGCUCCUUCAGAGUACUUGAGAAAGGGAAGGUGAGAGAUGAAGUUCAGCUUCGCUUGCCAACAGACUGCCGAUGUCAGCAGAGCGACUUAAACC